CGAGUGGAACGUCUCCUGGGAGCACACCAGAGAACUUUAUUAGGUUGGGGAGUAGAAAUGCCCUUUGGGGUACUUAAGAUGAACCUGGAUGGUCAAUAGGGGUUGAGCAGGAGGAGAGAGAAGACGGGUGUUCUGGGCAGAAGGAAGUGUAUGUUCAAAGGCCCUGAGGCUGAUAGUUCAGGUGAUUUCAGGAAACCAAGGCAGGGAAGUAUGGCCUGUUGGUGGACCCCGAGGACAGUGGCUUGCUGUGUGCGUGACAAGGAUCCCAGACCUCUACCAUGGGAAGGCAUCUUGAACGUGUUCUUGUCUACUAUUCUCAUCUUCCCGAUGAAGAACUGAAGCCAACAGGUCGACCCUGGCGAGAGGCAGAGGCUGGCCGGGAGCCAGCGGCCCAGCUCAGCGAGGGCCCAGGUCCUCUGACCAGUGCUGUGUGCAAGACAAUGGUGGUGGGAGGACCCAGGUCUCCUGGCAGGGCCCAUUUGGAGCUUCAUCACCGGCCACUGUAGGCCUCGGCAGAUCUCCAGAUGCGCUGGACAGGUGCUCCUUCCCUGGCUCUGGGAACAGUAGCCCUGGCCCUGCAGGUGUGCUCCUGAGCGGGCUCAGAUGCCGUGGGCAGUGCCACCGGGCUCAGGAUGCCUCCCGCCUCUGCCUAGCUCUGUCCCUCAGCCAUACCUCCCCUCCUCAGUUUGCAUCCCUCUUACUCCUGCAGCUCUGACUGUAAAAUAGACCCAGAUGAUGGGUCAUUAGUUAGAAUGUCUUGAAGCAACACACAAAAGCGUUAAGUUUUAAAAAGCUGAAUCCCUGCGGUAAGCGGUGGCAGAUAAAGGGCACGGAAUAUGAUUUUGAUGAUGAGGUGACACUUGGGCCCGUAGGCGUGAAGAGACUCCUGUAGAGAAUAGACACCCAGGGCUCUGCGGGACAGGUGACAGGGCAUGGGCACACCCCCUGCAGGCGCGGCCUCUGGGGCCCACCGUCCCCUGCUUCCCAUAUUUAAAACUCAGUGUUUUGCCCCUCAUUCCUUCAUUCACAUCCUUGUUUUCUUCUCCUUUAUCUUACCAGGCUUUAGGAAGUUCAAAACUAUUUCUAUGAAUUACUUUUUGCCCUCUCUGAGAAUUUGAUGCACUUUCUCACAUGAACUUGGAAACACAGAUUUAAGGCAAUUUUUUCAAGAAACUUUGCUGGGAGAGUCAUCUUUUCCACUUGGUGGUACAAAAACAGAAUUUUACUUAUUUGCCAUUAUUACCAUUUAUGUAACAUAACAACUAAUAAAUACCAUAUUAAAAUGAACGUUUAAAUGAAUGCUGCCAAUUACAUAAGAGACAUCAAUGUAGCUUAUAUUUUUUCUAAUUUAAAAAGUAAUAGCUGUUUCUGUGUAAUGGUGACAGGCACAUAGUAGAAACUCAAGAAAUAUUUCCUGAAUUAAAUUGAACGUGAUAUGGAAAAUCAGAAAGAUACAGAAAAAUAUGAAAUUUACCAUCCCUACAAAAUAACCCUAAUAAAAAUUGAUGUGUAUCCUUUUAUCCUUGUGCUUACACACUUCUAUAUCAUUUCUAUCUACAAAUGUACACACACAUUUAUAAGAUUAACAAAUUUGGGAUCACAGUUCGCAAAAUACGUAGUAUUAUAAUGUUUAGAAAGUUGUGGUGUUGUGUAGCAGUUACAAUACGAGCUAGGAGCCAGACAAACCCCAGGGUGAUACCGAAUCAGUUUAUUUAACUUGUUGGCAUUGCAGUUUCUUUCUUAUUGUUAAAAUAGGGAUAAUCAUAUCUACCACACAUUUUUUGUGAGGAUUCAAUGGGAAUCCUCAGGGAGGAUUUAACAUUAACAUAUUAAAUACAUUUAAUAUUAACAUACAUAAUAUAUGUAUUAACAUAAUACAUUAAAUGUAUUAACAUACAUUUGAUAUUAACAUAUUAAAAAUGCUUAUGACAAGGUUUGACACUUAGAAGUUUUUUCUCUAUUGUUAAAAAUUCCAUGGGGGAACUUCCUGGUAUCAACAUCUUCAAGCUCAUCUAUUUUUGUUUGUUUGUUUGUUUGUUUGUUUGUUUUUAAGUAGGCUCCACACCCAGCACAGGGCUUGAACUCAUCCCUGAGGUCAAUACCUGAGCUGAGAUCAAGAGUCGGACGCUUAACUGAGUCACCCAGUGCCCCUCUUUUUGUUUCUUAAGCAUUGAUUCCUGGAAGUAGAAUUAUUGAAUCGGAGAAGGUGAUUAUUUUCUCUAGAAAAUUUCUACCAAUUUCAGAUGUUAUAAAAGGAACUUCUAUGAAUUAUUGAAUAUGGGUCAGGCACUGCUUUAAGUAUAUGCUUUAACUCAUUGAUCACAGUGACAACACCUGUGAAGUAGGUAAGAUUAUUCCCCUCCCCCACCCCUCCCUGCCCUUUGCUGGUAACUGAUGCUCAAGGAACCCAAGUGAUUUGGCCACGGUCACACUGUUAACAACUAGUGUAGACAACAUUUGUGUCCAACGGCCUGGCUCCAGACCCCGUGCUCUUCCCUGUGACAGAUUCUUAUGAAGAUCCCUGGCAGAAAAUCAAUAGGAAGAAGCAUAUUUGGCAAAUCCUACAUUCAAAGGAGGCAGCGAAGAGCAACUGCAACUUUCAGAUUAGAUGAGGAGGUGAUGUUAUAUCCAGGGUCCUUGAGAGAGGGCUAAGGUGAUGGAUUCGGGGUGGGGAAAACCAAGGUGAAAUCUGUGACUUGUGAUAAUGCCUAUUGAUUCCUCCUUGUCUCAAAUUAAAUAAAUAACUUUGUUUACUUUG